rnacentral:lncRNA from 1 species
AAGGUGUAAACAGCAAUCAGCAAACAAAUGAGAGCUGAAUUCCAGCAUGAAUUUCUUAUCAAUAUAACAAGCUUUUCAUUCAAAUCUUUUGCCAGUGCAUAAAGGUCUAAAGUGGGGAGAAAAGAAAUACAUCUAAUAAUGCUAAUAUCCAAAGAACCACAGAGAUACAGUUAAGGUUAAAUGCUACUUUUGAAACUUAAGUACCAUAAUUACAGAUUUCAUCAAUAAAAACAGUCCAUAUCCAAUGCCGCUACUAGUUCCAUUGUUCAAUUAGAAAGACAUAAAACUUGGUGAAGAAUAAGCCUGACAAGGUGCAGUGAUCAAGAACAUAGAAAAGCAAAUAUGCUUCAUUUACAUCGGCCAUAGAGGAAGUGAAACAUACAAGGAAAAGAAAAAUGGCAGUAAAAGCGAUCAAAUCAGGAACCCAACCAUAGAUGAGGCGGAAGCUAAUUUCAUCAAUUAUGUAGAAUGCCAAAUACGAUGCAGCACAAGACCUACAAGGUAAUUGAAUACACGACUAUGCUACACGGAGCGCCCUGUACUACCAAACAAUCACAAUCUCUAUUUCUGUGAAUCGUGAAUAUAUCAAUAAGAUGCCUAUUGCUAGAAUACAACUUAUUGCAGGAUAAAAGAUAAUAAUAAUCUCUGUCUACCUAAUUUCAUCAAUUAUGUAGAAUGCCAAAUACGAUGCAGCACAAGACCUACAAGGUAACUGAAUUCACGACUAUGUUACACGGAGCGCCCUGUGCUACCAAACAAUCGCAAUCUCAAUUUCUGUGAAUCGUGAAUAUAUCAAUAAGAUGCCUAUUGUUCGAAUACAACUUAUAGCAGGAUAAAAGAUAAUAAUAAUCUCUGUCUACCUAAUUUCAUCAAUUAUGUAGAAUGCCAAAUACGAUGCAGCACAAGACCUACAAGGUAAUUGAAUUCACGACUAUGCUACACAGCGCGCCCUGUGCUACCAAACAAUCGCAAUCUCUAUUUCUGUGAAUCGUGAGUAUAUCAAUAAGAUGCCUAUUGCUCGAAUACAACUUAUAGCAGGAUAAAAGGUAAUAAUAAUCUCUGUCUUCACAUAUCCGCAACUCAUCUUCAUAAUGAAAGUUAGAUAGUUCAUCAUGGCAUCUUGCACCGAUUAGAGAAGUGUUCCUUUUAGUCACCAUGAGCAGAUGCCACAUAAUUGGGCGGUGCCGAGAGCAACCAGUCCCAGAGCCCAGAGGAGCUACCCGAUUAAACAAGACGAAUCGGGUGAACAAGAAAGGAAAAUAAUAAAAAGAAAGAGCCCAUCGGGCAUUUACUACAUAACGGCGUCCACAUAAAGAAAUUAAGCACUCCAACAGCAUAAGAAGAUAUCGAGCUGAACAGCCAGAUCUCCAAAACAGAGGCUGCUGCUGGUUCC